rnacentral:tRNA from 1 species
CGGGGGGUAGCUCAGAUAGAUAGAGCACUCGCAUGGGGUGCGAGAGGUCGCUGGGGCGGAACCAGUUCCCCCGACAA